GUGAGUCAUCGAAUCUUUGAACGCAUCUUGCACUUUGUGGAUCUACUGCAAAGUAUGCCUGUUUGAGUAUCGGAAAAAUUUAUCCAUCUUAUGAGAUGGGAAUUGAGGUUCAAAAAAUUAAUUUUUUUUGUUCUUUGAAAAAUAGCGUAUGCGGUAAGUUUUAUAUUAAACUGUACGCAAAGUGAGGUAAGAAAUGGGACUGUGGUCCUAUAUUUCUCCCGCUUAUAAAAGUACAAAUUUAAUUGAAAUUUACAAAACGCAAACGAUUAAUAAACUAUAAUAGAUUUUUAUUAAUCUUUU
rnacentral:misc_RNA from 1 species